AGCUUGCUAUGAUGAAAAUUAGUGGCAGACGGGUGAGUAAUGCAUAGGAAUCUACCUAGUAGUAUGGGAUAGCCACUAGAAAUGGUGGGUAAUACUGUAUAAUCCCUGCGGGGGAAAGAUUUAUCGCUAUUAGAUGAGCCUAUGUUAGAUUAGCUAGUUGGUGGGGUAAAGGCCCACCAAGGCAGUGAUCUAUAGCUGGUCUGAGAGGAUGAUCAGCCACACUGGAACUGAGAUACGGUCCAGACUCCUACGGGAGGCAGCAGUGGGGAAUAUUGGACAAUGGGCGCAAGCCUGAUCCAGCUAUGCCGCGUGAGUGA
rnacentral:rRNA from 1 species